GGUCCCGUAGUGUAGUGGUUAACAUGCCUGCUUGUCACGCAGGAGAUCGCGGGUUCGAGUCCCGUCGGGACCGCCA
rnacentral:tRNA from 1 species